CCAACAGCAGCAGGACAGGGAGGGAGAAUACGAGAGAAUUGGACAUUGCUAUACUCCGUAUUGAUAAUAAAAUACAAUAUGUAAAAAGAGUAAAAGAAAGAAGCAUCCAACAAGAGAUAGAUACCCACUGACAUCGACAAGAGAAAGAAAGAGACACGCGAAUCAAUCACAUGCAGCUAUGCAAACUGGGAAAUCAGAAAUCAGAAAUCAGAAAUGGAAAUAUGGAAAUCUGGAAACAGAGGAAUGAAAAGAAGUAAAGACAGGUAAUGGAGACAGGAAAAGUAGAGAGGGUCUAUCUGUGAUAUUAAAUUAUGUUCACCCAAUCUCCUUCCUUCCUUCUUGCCCUACUCUGUGCCUGUGCCUGCUUUUUGUCUUUUGUUGUCCCUCCAAACCAAUGAAUGAUCCGCGAAUAACAAUCCCAUCCCGCCCCUUCCCAUCGAUUGCAUAAUACAUCAUUUAAAAAAAAUAAAAUACUCCUUGGGGGAAUAUUGGGAUAUUUCCCGUGCCGGCUGCCCGUUGCUGCUGCUGCUGCUGCUGCUGCUGCUGCUGGUGAUAAUAAGAUAAGAGGAACAGCUAAUUCCUGAGGGCGACAGGCGACGAGCGGCAGGGGGUGGGUGGAGGUUUAAUAUAUAAAUAAGUAAAAAAACAAGGAAAGAAAAAAAAAAAACCCCUUGGUCUCAAACCAUGUAAGUAGAAAAGAAAAGAAAAAGGGGGGGAAAAAUGAAAAUAGAGGAAAAAGCCGUAGCUUCCGCCAUAAUAAUCACCCCCAUCUC
rnacentral:sRNA from 1 species